rnacentral:rRNA from 1 species
GAUGAACGCUGGCGGCGUGCUUAACACAUGCAAGUCGAACGGAAAGGCCCAAGCUUGCUUGGGUACUCGAGUGGCGAACGGGUGAGUAACACGUGGGUGAUCUGCCCUGCACUUCGGGAUAAGCCUGGGAAACUGGGUCUAAUACCGGAUAGGACCACUUCUUGGAUGUUGUGGUGGAAAGUUUUUUCGGUGUGGGAUGAGCUCGCGGCCUAUCAGCUUGUUGGUGGGGUAAUGGCCUACCAAGGCGUCGACGGGUAGCCGGCCUGAGAGGGUGUACGGCCACAUUGAGACUGAGAUACGGCCCAGACGCCUACGGGAGGCAGCAGUGGGGAAGAUUGAACAAUGGGCGCAAGCCUGAUGCAGCGACGCCGCGUGGGGGAUGACGGCCUUCGGGUUGUAAACUCCUUUCGCUAGGGACGAAGCGUUUUGUGACGGUACCUGGAGAAGAAGCACCGGCUAACUACGUG